rnacentral:sRNA from 1 species
CUUUAAAGUCAUGUAGUGUUUUAUAGUCAGUAGAAUGUAGUGACUUUCUAUUAGUUUCCAUUUGAAUUGGUAACAAAUCCUGACUUUUCUCCAACUCCAGUAACCUUCGAGAAAGCUUUGAAUGCCGGCUUCAUCCAGGCCACUGAUUAUGUGGAGAUUUGGCAGGCAUACCUUGAUUACCUGAGGAGAAGGGUUGAUUUCAAACAAGACUCCAGUAAAGAGCUGGAGGAGUUGAGGGCCGCCUUUACUCGUGCCUUGGAGUAUCUGAAGCAGGAGGUGGAAGAGCGUUUCAAUGAGAGUGGUGAUCCAAGCUGCGUGAUUAUGCAGAACUGGGCUAGGAUUGAGGCUCGACUGUGCAAUAACAUGCAGAAAGCUCGGGAACUCUGGGAUAGCAUCAUGACCAGAGGAAAUGCCAAGUACGCCAACAUGUGGCUAGAGUAUUACAACCUGGAAAGAGCGCAUGGUGACACCCAGCACUGCCGGAAGGCUCUGCACCGGGCCGUCCAGUGCACCAGUGACUACCCAGAGCACGUCUGCGAAGUGUUACUCACCAUGGAGAGGACAGAAGGUUCUUUAGAAGAUUGGGAUAUAGCUGUUCAGAAAACUGAAACCCGAUUAGCUCGUG